UCACUUCAGCAGCACAUCUACUAGAAUUGGAACGAUACAGAUAAGAUUAGCAUGGCCCCUGUGCAAGGAUGACACAGAAAUUUGUGAAGCAUUCAAUAUUUUU